ensembl:snoRNA LOC120100351 small nucleolar RNA SNORA31
CUACAUCCACUGAUAGACCUAGAAUGGUUUGUGGCUGUUCUUGUUGUCUGCACUAGGAUGCAGAGGAAACCACUCCUGGCGCUUCCUUUCUGUCUUUGUGGUCCAGAUUGAUGUAUAGAGUUAAACU